rnacentral:rRNA from 1 species
AUUGAACGCUGGCGGCAUGCUUUACACAUGCAAGUCGAACGGUAACAGGUUAAGCUGACGAGUGGCGAACGGGUGAGUAAUGCAUCGGAACGUGCCCGAUCGUGGGGGAUAACGCAGCGAAAGCUGCGCUAAUACCGCAUACGACCAGAGGGGGAAAGGGGGGGAUCGCAAGACCUCUCGCUAUUGGAGCGGCCGAUAUCAGAUUAGCUAGUUGGUGGGGUAAAGGCCUACCAAGGCAACGAUCUGUAGUUGGUCUGAGAGGACGACCAGCCACACUGGGACUGAGACACGGCCCAGACUCCUACGGGAGGCAGCAGUGGGGAAUUGUGGACAAUGGGCGCAAGCCUGAUCCAGCAAUGCCGCGUGCAGGAAGAAGGCCUUCGGGUUGUAAACUGCUUUUGUCAGGGAAGAAAUCCUCUAGGUUAAUACCCUUGGGGGGAUGACGGUACCUGAAGAAUAAGCACCGGCUAACUACGUGCCAGCAGCCGCCGCAGUAA